GACGAACGCUGGCGGCGUGCUUACCCAUGCAAGUCGCACGGAAAGGCCCUGCUUUUGUGGGGUGCUCGAGUGGCGAACGGGUGAGUAACACGUGAGUAACCUGCCCUUGACUUUGGGAUAACUUCAGGAAACUGGGGCUAAUACCGGAUAGGAGCUCCUGCUGCAUGGUGGGGGUUGGAAAGUUUCGGCGGUUGGGGAUGGACUCGCGGCUUAUCAGCUUGUUGGUGGGGUAGUGGCUUACCAAGGCUUUGACGGGUAGCCGGCCUGAGAGGGUGACCGGCCACAUUGGGACUGCGAUACGGCCCAGACUCCUACGGGAGGCAGCAGGGGGGAAUAUUGCACAAUGGGCGGAAGCCUGAUGCAGCAACGCCGCGUGCGGGAUGACGGCCUUCGGGUUGUAAACCGCUUUCGCCUGUGACGAAGCGUGAGUGACGGUAAUGGGUAAAGAAGCACCGGCUAACUACGUG
rnacentral:rRNA from 1 species